UGCAGAUCAAUUCCUCAUUGCAUCUCACACAAACACAAGACAGCAUCCUCUCAGAAUCAAAGCACAAAAUAUCAACCAAAUCUCAGGACACAGUUAAACCUUACCCAAUCACAACUACACAGACCCCUAAACAAAACAACUCGCACUUCCCACAUCACAGCAAAGGACUCGACUCCUCAAGCGAUCUUGACCUCAAUACUCUUCGGCUUCUUUGGCUCCGGCGGCGGCAGCUUCUGGACAGUGACAGUAAGCACCCCAUCCUUGCACACCGCCGAAAUCGCUUCCGUAUUUGCGUUCUCCGGCAGCGUAAACUUCCGCAUCAGCUUCCCCAUCCGGCGCUCCAUCUUCAGGUACUUUCCCUCCUCGUUGUCCUUCCGCUUCCGCUCGCCACUUAUUAUCAGCACGUUGUCGUCCUCCACUUGAACCUUCAUCUCGCCGGAUCCAACGCCGGGCAUAUCAACAACAAAGACGUAGGCGGCGGGGAGUUCCUUGACGUCGGCGGGGGUGGAGGCCAUGGCGCGGGCGUCGCGGACGUAGGCGCGGCUCGGGCCGUUGAGGGACUUGUCGGUCUCAUUGGGGACCUCCAUCAGAUGGUGGAGGGCCGCCAGCAAGGGGUGAUCAAGUCCGAUGAUCCUGGAAUCCAUGGCUCGGAUUGAAAUGUUUAGCGAUUGGUUUGGAA
rnacentral:misc_RNA from 1 species